GCUUUGGUAGUGCGUCCGCCUUGUAAGCGCUAGGCCGCGGGUUCGAUUCCCGCCCGGGGCG
rnacentral:tRNA from 1 species